rnacentral:lncRNA from 1 species
UUUGCAAUUCGCUAAUUGUUUGAGGACAAUGUUUAUGUUGUUUCUGCUUUGGUAGACAUGUAUUCAAAAUCAGGAAUCAUUGAUUAUGCUGAAAGUGUUUUCUAAAAUCUCCUGAGAAGAACUCUGUGACAUAUACAAAUAUGAGUUUGGGAUAUGGCCUUCAUGGGAUGCGUAGGAAAGCUCUAAAACUGUUCUACUCUUUGCGGCAGAAUGGUUUAGAACCAGAUGCUGUUACCUUUGUGGCAGUCCUGUCUACUUGCAGCUACACCGGAUUGGUUGAUUAAGGCCUUCAAAUAUUUGAGCUGAUGGGUGAAGAAUAAGGGAUUCAGCCGUCAGCAGAGCACUAUGCUUGUGUGGUUGACAUGUUAGGAAGAGUUGGACGGUUGGAUGAAGCUCAUAAUUUUGCUAAACAGUUGGGUGUUGAGGGUAAUAACUUGGGAAUAUGGGGAUCACUCCUUGCAGCCUGCAGAGUGCAUAGAAAUUUUGAAUUGGGGAAAAUUGUUUCCAGUUAGCUGCUUGAAUUCGAGGGGAAUGAUGGAAUUUCUGGUUAUCAUGUUCUGCUUUCAAAUAUAUAUAUGCAGAGGAAGGAAACUGGCAGUCUGUAGAUAACGUCAGAAGAGGAAUGCGCAAAAUGGGAUUGUCAAAGGAGGUUGGGUGUAGUUGGAUUGAUACUUCUGGAUAUCCACACUGUUUUGUAUCUAAAGAUAAGAAGCUUCCUCAGUACUGCAUGAUAUAUGAUAUGUUGGGAUAUUUAACCAUCAAUAUGUAGGAUGCUGGCUAUAAACCUAAACUUGAACUAAUAGAAGAGUGGAUCUAUGGGCUAGAAGAAUGAAAAGCUAUUAGUUCUCCCACAAUGUUGUUGUUCUCCGACUAUGUACCUUUGUAUUCAUGACAUUUUUGGACAGGAUUUUGCUAGAGUUAAUAUGAUCGUAGUUUAUCAGUGACCAGCUGCCUUUGAAAUUCGAGGUAAUUAAGUUGUGUUUUAGCUUUUUUUAGUUUAGUUUUUUCUUCUGAAUUAUGCUUUUUUAGUUUGUAAAGAUACUCGGAAGUAGGAUAUUCAGUUAGUGAAAUGUAUGCAUAUUUCUUUAUUAAUACAGAGCAAUCAAGAAUAUCCAUUUUACCUUUUUGGUGGGAAAGGAGGAGUCCCAGGUAGCAAAAGAAUGGUCUUAUCCAAGGCGACAACUUCUAUCAUGCUGUCAGAUUGAGUGAAGCACAUUUAAAUUAGGUGACCAGUUCUUUCCUUUGAAUGACUUAUACUUGUUCUGCAGGUUGACUUUUAAACUAUUGUAUUAAGGAUAUUUGAUAUAGUGUUUGCAAGUUCAUGAGUGUUCUUAUAUUGGAGCCAAAUGGCAUUAAUAACACUUGUUAAGGUUGGUCCGGAUAACUAUUAAUAUGUCUGCUAAGGUUGGUUCAGCUAAUCAUAGUAUGUGAAUAUCAAUGGAACUGGCAUAAGUGGAGUUUUUCAUUUCUGAAAAUGGUUCUGAAGCUACAACAAAUCAUAUAGAUAAGAUAAUCUCUGAAAUUUUCCUUAUUAGGCUGUCGGCUUAUAUUAUUGGACAUUGACAAACAAAACUUUCUAUAAAUUAGGUCUAGUUCUAGUGAUUAGUAGGAGGUUUUAUUGAGUAAAUAUGUAUAUAUACUUUUGCCAACCAAUUAAGAUUCGAGUCCAUAUUAUCUUUGCUUGGUUUAUUAGGUUCCACAUGCUUGCUUUCAAGCUGCUUGUGUCAAUUUAAUGUGAAUUAUUGCCCUUCAGUUUUCACAAGGGACAAAGGGCGUAACGGCAUCUUAUUUUGGAGUUUUUGUCUUUUUGGAUAAGGUAAAUAAUUUUACUAAGAGUUAAUGGUCAAAAACACAUCCAAACUAUCACUUUUUGCGAGUUUCAUACCUCAACUAUCAUUGUUCGCUUUACCUACCUAAACUAUCACCCUUGUUGUAUUAUAACUCACCUUGGUGUUGGGUGGUUCAUUUGUGAACAUGUAGGGUAUAGAAUGGUUGUUUAUUAUCUUAAGAUAAUAUGCUUAAGUGAGUGAGAAACUGAUAAAGUCAUAUGGUACAUUAAUUCCGCUUGAUCCUAACAUUCGUAAUUUCUAAAUAUCUCUCGAUUAUCAAAAGGGGUUCCAUCAUCUUUCAUAAGAUGCACAUUGUGAACUAGUAGUGUACUACAGGGUUUGGCAUCCAAUUUUCCAGUUUCUACAAGUAGGUCAAGAAUGUACUUUCUGUGUGAUAGAAAAAUUUCCUUCUUUCUUCUAUUCACUUCUACUUCCAAAAAGUAUUUCAACUCGCCUAUGUCCUUCGUAUGAAACCUAGUAGUGCCAGUUGCAGAUAAUCGAUAGAAAACAAAGUGAUCACUAUGCUCAUUUUCAGCCCACACACCUAAACUACCUCACUAGACUUGCCAAACCAAUCUCAGGGACUCUGGUUUAAGCCAUACAAGGACUUUUGAAAUUUUAUUUUAGUAAAAAUGUAAGUCGUGCAAUCAAAUACAAGAAAUGAUAUAAACAUCAAUUCAAAUUAUUAAUGUCGUCCUCAAGAACUGUAUUGGACACUGACAUGUGUUCCUGUUCUGUCCAAGAAGCCCCUUUUCGCCAUUCUACAUCUACAAGAAAUGAUAUAAAUAUCAAUUCAGAUUAUUAAUUUUGGUUUUGCAUCUUAGGAUAAUUAGGCAAUGCGACAUAUUCAGACUCGAUAACAUUGAUAUCUUCAAUUAAUACAUUACAGUGAUCAUUAAUAUCAUCAGUCGAUUUCCCAAGAAGUGCUUUUGCCAUUUCCUCCAAUAGAUUGUUGUUAUCCUUGUUGAUCGCAAGAGUACUCUCAAAGAUUUUAUCCUCCUCCUUAGUCUAGAAGGAGUUAUUGCAUGUCCGAUCAUUGUUCAUUUUCUUUUAGAUCUACAAGGAAAGCUCAAACAUGAAAAAAGGUAAGCUCUUGAAGAGGAUUCAGAAAUCGGAUGAGUGUCAAUAUAUGACCAAAAACUACUAUAAAUAUCGGGCAUCUAAAAUAAGAUUUUUUGUAACCCCUAACACUUGGUAAUCAGAAACAAUCACAGCAAGGCACAUUCUAUUAAAUCAGUUAUGGAUACUAAGAAAAGUAAUGAGUGACUAGUAAAAGAAACAAACAUGAAGAUACAUGUGGUAUACUACCACAGAAGUCCCCAGAGAUGCGAAAUAUAUUAUGAAAGCAUUUGCAUUCUUUACCUUUUCUAUCGGACGAAAGGUUUUAUAAUAAGAAAGAAGAGUCCAAAGAAGAAAACUAUUUGUCUCAAGAUAAGAAAAAAAAUAUAUCAUUGAGUAUAUAUUUUUGUUUUUGUUAGUGAUGCAAAAAAAAGAUUUAUGGCCUUGUACCACAUAACGGGAAAGAAAUCAUGUCAAUCCAACAUAUGCUAUCAAAAAAAGGGAAAACCCAGAUUCCCUUGUAACACAAUCUAACCACUAAUAACUAGGGAAUGUGCUAAGACAAAAUAUAUCCUGGGCAAGAAAUCAAAAGAAAAGCUAUACAAAUUCUUGUUUUUCCUUUUUGAGAAACUCAAAUCUCUACACAUUAAUUUUCAGCAAUGGAAACCAUAUUAAAGAAGAGUCCCUAGAAAGUGGUGACACAAUUUCUCUCUCCUGAGAUAGAAACAAGAUGAAUCUCACGAUAAUUCAAGUAGGUCAGUAUCACUUUGCAUCUCUUCAGAAUCUACACCAAAAACAAUAUAUAAAUCAACCAUUUGUGAUUGAGUGCACAUUCUCUUUUGUCGUCAUUAUCUUUAUACAUCAUGAAAUAGCAAAUUAUUGAUCAUUUGAAUGGAAGAUUUACAGAACCAACAAGCAAUAACAUACGAAGUGUAAUCCCAUAAGUGAGUCUGGGAGGGUAGUGUGUACCUAGACCUUACCCCUACCUUGAGAGGUAGAGAGGCUAUUUUCGAUACACAUUUGACUCAACGAAAAACAUAUAGAGUGGAUUCGAUAAAGGGAAGGUUUACAAAACCAACAACAACAUCAUAUUCAGUGAAAUCUCACAAGUGAGGUAUGGGAAGGGUAGAGUGCCUAUAAACCUUACCCUACCUUGGGAAGUAGAGAGGUCAUUUCUGGCUGAUCCUUAACUCAAGGAAAAACAUAUCAAAGCAAAUCGAAAAAGGAAAGCUUUAUAGAACCAUGACAUAAAAUCUUAAAGGGAAAGAUAUGAACGAUCUUACUUUUUCCCUUCAAAGAACUAAUCAUAUCUCUAAAAAUUAACUUUCCUAAAUACAAAGCAUGUUAAAGAAGAGUACCAAAAAACGUCAGCACAACUAGCAGAACCUGAUGAUCACAAAGCACAAUCAAAACAAACUUCUGAGUGAAUCAAUCUACAGUUAUAAGUUUUAUCACCUAUGAAAACAAGCAUUCAACCAAAAAGGAAUCAGACACAUAUAUGUACUUAUAACUGAGAUAGAUUCGUCUUUGGUUGAAUGCUUGUUUUCAUAGGUGAUACAACUUAUAACGGUAGAUUGAUUCACUCAGAAGUUUGUUUUGAAUGUGCUUUGUGAUCAUCAGGUUCUGCUAGUUCUGCUAACGUUUUUUGGUACUUUUCUUUAACAUGCUUUGUGUUUAGGAAAGUUAAUUUUUAGAGUUAUGAUUAAUUCUUUGAAGGGAAAAAACAAGAUCUUUCAUGUCUUUCCUUUAAGAUUUUUUGUAAAGCUUUCCUUUUUCGAUAUGUUUUUCCUUGAGUUGAGGGUCAGUUAGAAAUGAACUCUCUGCCUCCCAAGGUGCGGUAAAGGUCUAUAAACACUCUACCCUCCCCAUACCUCACUUGUGGGAUUUCACUGGACAUGAUGUUGUUGUUGGUUUUGUAAAUCUUCCCUUUCUCGAUCCACUUUAUAUGUUUUCCUUGAUCCAAGUGUGAAUUGAAAAUAGCAUUUCUACCUCUCAAGGUAGGGGUAAGGUCUACGUACACUCUACCGUCCCCAGACUCACUUGUGGGAUUACACUUGGUAUGUUGUUGGUUCUGUAAAACUUCCAUUCAAAUGAUUAAUAAUUUGUUAUUUCAUGAUGUAUAAAGAUAAUGACGACACAAGAGAAUGUGCAGUCAACCACAAAUGGUUGAUUUAUAUAUUGUUUUUGCUGUAGAUUCUGAAGAUAUGCAAAGUGAUACUGACCUACUUGAAUAUCAUGAGAUUCAUCUUGUUUUUAUCUCUGGAGAGAAAAAUUGUGUCAACAUUUUCUAGGGACUCUUCUUUAACAUGAUUUCCAUUGUUGAAAAUUAAUGUGUAGUAAUUUGAGUGUUUCUCAAAAAGGAAAAGCAAGAAUUUGUAUAGCUUUCCUUUUGAUUUCUUGUCCUGGAUAUAUUUUGUCUUAACAUUCCCUAGUUUUAAGUGGUUAGUUUGUGUUACAAGGGAAUAUAGGUUUUUUCUUUUGAUAACAUAUGUUGGAUUGACAGGAUUUCUUUUCCAUUAUGUGCCAUAGAUUAUUUUUUUUGCAUCACUAACAAGAACAAAAAUAUAUACUCAAUGAUAUAAUUUUUUCUUAUCUUGAGAUGAAUAGUUUUCUUCUUUGUACUCUUUUUUUGAGAUAAAAUCAUACACAAAAUGGUGGGGUACGCCAGGCCAAUGCAGUAGUGCAACGCAAGAGCCCAGGCAACAAACUACCUUAAUGGACUCUUCCCCUUAAAAAUUAAGUUAAUAUCGUGUGGACCAAUGGCCCACAUAUCAGAUAUUAAACUGAUAAGAACAGAUACUACACUUGAUCUUAGCCAAAAGGCCGAGAAAGGUAUUCUUCUUUCUUAUUAUAAAACCUUCCGUCCGAUAGAAAAGGUAAAGAAUGCAAAUGCUUUCAUAAUAUGCUUCGUAUCUCUGGGGACUUUUGUGGUAGUAUACCACAUGUUUGUUCCUUUUACUAGUCAUUCAUUACUUUUCUUAAUAUCCAUAACUGAUUUAAAAGAAUGUGACUUGCCACGAUUGUUUCUGAUUACUAAGUGUCAGGGGUUACAAAAAAUCUUAUUUUAUAUGCCCGAUAUUUAUAGUAGUUUUUUGUCAUAUAUUAACACUCAUCCAUUUUCUGAAUCCUCUUCAAGAGCUUACCUUUUCUUUUUUUUUUGAUGACAAGGGAAACCCUCAGCUGCUACCCUUUGGGUGCGCACAGGGUAAAACCCCCACUCCUAUGCAAUAGCUCGCAAACCACAUAGGAGAUGUAACCCGCACUAGGCAAGCCCGGUGCGACGAGCUCGACCCAGAAGGCAAACCCCUUGCUUUCGCUGGCAAGGGGUUUCGAACUUGAGACCUCCAACAUGGAAGUCCCAAACCACUGGGCCACCCCGAAGAGUCUUACCUUUUUCAUGUUUGAGCUUCCCUUGUAGAUUGGAAAAUGAACACCGAUCGGACAUGCAAUAGCUCCUUCUGGACUAAGGAAGAGGAUAAAAUCUUUGAGAAUACUCUUGCGACCAACGAGGAUAACAACAAUCUAUUGGAGGAAAUGGCAAAAGCACUUCCUGGGAAAUCACUAUAAUAUCUUAAUUGAAGAUAUCAAUGUCAUCGAGUCUGGAUAUGUCCCAUUACCUAAUUAUCUUGAAAUGCAUAACCAGAAUUCAAAAGCACAUGUAGAAUGGCUAAAAGGGGCAUCUUGGACAGAACAAGAACACAGGUUCUGAUUCCAGUACAGUUCUUGAGGACGACAUUAAUAAUCUGAAUUGAUGUUUAUAUCAUUUCUUGUAAUUGAUUGCACGACUUACAUUUUUACUAAAACGGAAUUUCAAAAUUUCUUAUUUCUCAAUGACCACAUUGGUGUGCUUCUAAAUAUCUCAUAUAUUAUUAUAUUUCUAGGUGAUAGAGUACAUCUUCAUAGGUGUAUUUGGUCUUAACUGCAUUACCAAUAUAAUACAAAAUAUUAAUUCUGAGUUCCACAGUAUUUUCCGAUCAAAUUUGUAGGCUUUUAAUUGUCAAUGGCUAGGCUUGCUUUCAUGGGAAGUAGACUGACUCUUCUUCAUAUACAUCAAACGAUUCAUGAAACUGUAACCACUCCACUUGUUGAUUGCAGGUUAGGUCUCCUCAGAUGAGGCUCUAUAUCUAAAAUGUCAACUCAGCCUGGGGUAUAACAACUGUGUGUGCCCGCUGAACUUAAUUUCUUUGUCAAAAUGAAUGGAAACUUGAGACCAAGAGGCCGAGUUUGAUAGAAAUUUGUUCAACUUACAAAGCCAUGCCAAAUAUAAAUUGUGGCAAAGCAAAUCUAUUUUUGAGUGCUUCAGUUGUCUUGACUCUCUUGCAACUUUCAGUUCAAGAAUCAGACAUCCUGUAUAUUCUAGCGACACCAAAUUUGGAGCAUCAAUCUUCCUUGUGCCACCCGAAUCGUCCUUAAUCUUCAAGACGUUUUGGAAUUGAGAUCUAGAAAUAAGGUGCUCGAGAUUCCAUCACAUGUCCACAUGAGGUGAUAUGAUAUAUCUAAAGAUUUCAGAUUCUAACAUUCAAUAACAUCCAAAUUGUCCGGUGAAGAACUAGAAUAAUAUAAGUGUUCAAGAUUGAUGCUUUAACACCCUGGUUUCUUGUUGUACAAAUAGAAACUGACUUGAUCUUUUGAAGAUUUAGCAGCUCAAUCUUUUUCAACCUUCUGUAACAAUGCUCAAGUGUGAGUUAGUGAUUGACUUCCAUCUCCAACUACUUUCUUAGAAGGCUUUACAUUUGAGUGAGGAGCACUAAAAGUAUUUUUGACCUCCAUCACCUGACAAAAAAGUAACAGCAUCGCAAAAAAGAUCGCGUUGAAGUUGGUUAUAAGUGAAUUUCGUCAUCUGAAUAGCUAAAUAAUCAUUUGGCAAAGGUAGUUCUUAAAUGUUUACUUCUUUUUCCUUCUAUCUUUGUAUACAUUCUUUGUUUCCGGGCAGGGGGUGAAGGACAUAAGAGAAGAUUUUCCUAUAGGUAAGGAAGAGGUGAAAAUGGAGCAUUAGUCACUGAGCCCAUGGACGAAGAUAAUGAUAUCAGUUCCAUUUUUUAUGUUGGGAAAGCACCAACUGCUCAUAGAGGAAUGUCUGGUUAUAUAUGCAGCUGCAGGGGAGGCUCCUGCUUAGUCACAUCCCUUUGCCCCCUCAGCUAAACUCCCGUUGACGAUGAAGACUUUUUUUAUCUGCAUGACUUGUUCACAGAUCAGACGUUCUGAUUUGGUGGAGGAAAAGCUGUUCAUGUUGAUAUUAGUUGCUCACAACCAGAUAGGUUGUUAACGUUGAUACUGCACUUAGGUUUUUGCAGACUUAUUACAUUAUGUUAGACAGUAUUGCUAUUCUUUAACGUAUGUUUAUCAAUUAAAUGAUCAAAAUGGUCCUUAAUGUAUGGGGUUGAACUAUUUUAGUCAUUCAUAUAUACCUCGUAAUCAUAGUAAAAGUGACCCUUUUCCUACAGCCACCACCCUUAAUGUAUCACUUUUUUUGUACAUUAAGGACUACUUCGAUUACAUGGUAUAUAUGGACUAAAAGGAUUACUUUUCUGUACAUUAAGGACUAUUUCUGUUUGAACACCCCCUUCUGACAUAUUAUGUGAACUCCUUGUCUUGUGAAAGUAAUUGCCAAUGUGGUUUUUAGUUGUUGCAGCAAAUAUAUUUCUGGUAAUUCACAGCAAAGUUCACAUUGAAAACAAAACACUGAGAGAGUGUCCAUGAACAUCCCUUUGCCAUCUGAAGCAAGUAAAAGGCGUAUAGAUACCACUAGUUCUAUGAGUUCAACUGAACUUAUUGUCUUCGACUCAACCUAAACAAAAGAAAGAAAAUGCAUGCAUACGUAUAAUAAGAUCACAGUCAUUCUGAACUCAUUAACUGGUUAUUAUUGUCUAACUUUGAAAUAUGCGCUUUGCUAGUUAUCUCAAAUCUUGUCAUCAGUAUCACCUUCAAUUGGAGCUGCUACAUUUAUGUAUAGCUUCUGGCCAUUGAUGCAACUACCAUAAUUGCCGGAUUUGAAGAAAUAAUCUCCAGGUACCAACAUGAAUGCUAUUGCUGGACUAUCUUUGUGCUGCUUUGAAGGAGUGCUGGAAUUGCAUGCAUAAUAGUUGUAUUUUCCAAUCUCCAACAAAUCCUCUGGCUUUUGGAAUCUAAAUUCUACAAAUAAAAUGGUACCAAAACAUAUUAAUGCUUGUAAAAUUAGAUACAAUAUGUAUAUAGGUACACGAAAAAUAACUUUCUAAAAGAUAAAUAAAGUUAUGAACCAUAUUCAAAGGGAGUGAAUUGACACCCCUUGCCAGAAAAACCAACACUUUUAUUGAUUUGAUUUGGUUUAUGAAGUUAUAAAACCGACAUAGCUGGUUUGAUUUGGUAAAUGAAAAAAUCGAACUAAAGAACCAUCUAUAUGUACACCCCUAAAAUUAGUUAGUACCUUUAUAUCCUUUCAAACAUAGCUAAAGAAAGACUUCAGGCCAAAUUAGAUAUGAGGAAAGGAUGAAAUGACAAGAAGAGUGCUUGGUGAGGAGACAACACGAGGAGGAAAUUCUCGCGACUAAGGAAGCACGUCCCUUAAAGGGAAAGCCAGAGAAGGAGCCUGCUGGACAGCCUCACCUUCUGCUCCCAAAUUAGCAUAUCCAAAUUAUGAGAAAGCCUAUAGACGCUGCAAUUGCAGAAUUUGCACCUUGCAAAUGUCUAUUUGUUCAAGUAUGUAAAUAAAUUGCACACACGAUUCAAUUAAUAAUGGAAAAUUGUAUAAAAUAGCAAAUUAUUAAUUCAAAAUAAAUGUUAUAACCAUAGUUUCAAUUAAUUUUGAUUUGUGGCAAACACUUUGCCAUUCGCCUCUCUCCCUUUAAUCUCGCUCGCCGCUCUCCCUCGCCUCUCUCACUUUAUACAAACACAAAUGUAUAAAUUGUGUUGGUGUUUGCAGUGGCGUACGCAUGAUUUUUUCUAAGCGGUGUCACAAUUAAAGAGACAAAAAUGGCUCAAGAAGAAAAUCAAUGAAAGUUUUGUUUUAGACCUCCAAAAAUUUGAGGCCUCUUUUAAUUAGAUAAUAUUUUAAAAUUUUAAAUUAAACCAUUCACAUCUUCAUAUUAUUAAAUAAAGUUUGAUUCAUUAUCUUGUUCUUCCAAGUCAGUUGUAGCUUGAGUCGUUAAAAUUGGCUUUGAACAUUUUUUAUUUUUUUUAGAAUAAUACUCUCCAUUAAAAAUUUAGACUAAUAUGAUGUGAUCUGCCCAAUAAAUAAUUGAGGAUCAAAUAAUAGAGGAUUGCGGACAAUUUUAAUCAAUUUAAUGAAUUCUAAAUUAUUUCAUUGUAACAAGUAGAUGGUAAAAAUUAAAAUUAAUUUUAUGAACAAAUAAAAAUAAAAAUUCAAGCACAUAAUAAAAAAAAUAGAAUAGCAAGAAAAUACUAACCUGAUGUGGAGAUUCGAGAUGUCGAUUAACAAUGAUUGAUGAACAAGAAUGGAAAGAAAAUUGAACAAACUCACACAAGUCAGAAAUAUACAAAUACAAGGAUUUAAGGAGUCAACACUAUUUUUAUUUAACUAUAAUCCUAAUUGAUAAAGGAGAUUUUGAGUUUUAUAUUAAUUCUAAAAAUAAAUAAAAAGUUGUUAGAUUUUGAAUGAAUUAGAGUGGGUGUGUAGGUUUUUAAUGAAGGGGCUAUUGUUUUGAAUUUUAAACAAAAAAUUAAUAAUUUUAAGAAAAGAAAAAAUUAAAACAUGAAUAAAACAAACAAAAAAAUGAAUAAAACAAACAAAAAACAUGAAUAAAAAAGAGAGAAAAAACAACCCCGGGGAAUCGAACCCGUGAUGUUUCGCACAUUAUGUUGUGCCUCUACCAUCUGAGCUAGGCGCAACCUGUUACAAGGGGAGUCCUUUCAAUUGUUUUAACCUUUAGUUGUUUUUUUGUUUGUUUUUUAUAUAGGUAUAUUCGGUAAAAAAAUUCGACGAAGCCGUGUCACUUGACACACCUUAGAUAUGCCUAAAUCCGCCUCUGGGUGUUUGUAUAAAGCGAGAGAAAACUGUAUAUACAAAUUUAAAUACAUGUCUCUUCGUCCUAUACACUUAUAAUUAUAUAAAUAUAAAUCUUCUCCUGCCCAGUUCGCGUUUGUCUUUCUUUCUUUCUCGCUUUAUACAAAAUACAAUGCAUAAUUUGUGUUUGUAUAAAACGAGAGAGAUUUGAUAUACAAAUAUAAUUGACGUUAUUAUAUUUGCAUUUAUGAAAAUAUUUAUCUCACAAAAAUUAGCUAUUAAGUAAAUAAUAAAAAUUAAACUAAUACAAACUUCAACUGACGUUAUUACAAGUCAUAUGAACUUUUCUUUGUCUAAAAUACUGAAAUAUUAAAAAAUAGUUAAUAAGUAAAACAAAAGGGUAAUGUUUAUAUAAUAAUAACUAUUCUGAAGCAAACUUCCUAACAAUCUAAAUCACACAAGUAACAUUGAUAAAUAAAGUUAUUCUUUUGUCUUAAGCAUAAAAAAAAUCGUGACAAUUCUCUAAAUUUUGAAAAAAGAUAUUCAGAAGCAUAUAUCUACAUCACAAGAGAAAUUGUUAACAAAAAUAAAUGAAUUUAGACUACAUCAUGUUAACUUCAUCUAUUGGAACAUUACAUACUAAUGUAUAUAUUAAGCAAAAAAAUAAUUAUUAUAUCAUCAAAAUUAUUUUCCUCAAGUACUCAAGGUUAUGGAAUAUACCCUUUUAGGAUAGAAGGACUUACUUCAUCAGAAUAAUGAUACUUCAUAUUCCGCUAAACUUCGAACUCAUCCAAUGACAAUAAAUCACACAAAAAAAAUUAUAAUGCAAGAAGAAGAGUAGAAGAUUAAAAAAAAUUGUUCAUCAGAAUAGUGGUUGACUAUAUAUUAUCUCUAUUUAUAGUUAACAAAGGAUAGUAUGAACAAAUAUUUUUUGUAUCUUAUCUGAAAAGUCAUGACAUUUCCGAGAAUUCACAACCCUUUGGAAAAGUCACAAUUUAUUGAAAAAGUCACAACUCUUUGGAAAAGCCACAACUCAUCGAAAAAUCACAACCCUUUGAAAAAAGUUACAACUUAUCGGAAAAGUCACAACUCAACAAAAAAGUCACAACCUAAGUUAGGGAUAUUAUAGUAAUUCAACAUUCAAGUUAUGAGUUCAUGUUUUUAAGGUAAUAUAGAUAUAAAAAAGAUAUAGAUAUAGAUAUAGAUAUAAAUAGAUAUAGAUUAAUUAAUUUAUAUAAAAAAAACAAUUACUCCAUCUGUUUCAAAAAGAAUGACCAAAUUUCCUUUUUAGUCUGUUUCAAAAAGAAUAACCAAAUUUCCUUUUUAGUCUGUUUCAAAAAGAAUGAUCCAUUUCCUUUUUUUGUAACACUUUAACUUUCCACGUGAUAUGUUUAAAACCACAAAAUUAAAGGACAUUUUAGUACAUUUAACAUAACUUUGAUUUAGAACCACUAGAUUAAAAAGUCAAACUAGGUCAUGAAGACUACUUGUUAGGUUAAAACUGAAAAAACAAAUUGAAAUAUUGAAGAGAAUGAGUAUUUGUACGACAAAACCAUUGUCUUCUUUCUCUUCCUUCAACUUUCUCACAGUCUCCAUCUUUGAGCUUAACCCAUCUCCCAAAUUAAUCUUCUCUACCCCUCACCGACCAAGAAUGCACUCUUACAGACUCAAAAUCCAGAACAAUUGGCUUUUGUUUAAGCGAAUCGUGAAGACAAGGCCAACCCCAUCUCGCCCGCCAACUGUUCGUUACAAUUCCUCAACCAUCAACUGUCCUUUGGAACACAAUAAUAGUUGGGUUUAUUUGUAAUAACAUGCCCCAUGAAGCCAUUUCAUUCUAUUCUCGAUUGAAACAUGUGGGUUCGUCCGUAUGUGAUCAGUAUACUUAUUCCUCUGUUCUCAAGGCUUGCACGGAGACCAAACGGAUUCUUGUAGGUAAAUCUGUGCAUUGCCACAUUCUGCGUUCUGGGAUUCAUACUAGUAGGAUUUUUAGUAAUUUUUUGUUGAAUAUAUACUCUGCUACUUGUCUUACAUCGGAUAAUGGUACUGAUUGUGAUUUAGUUUAAAGGGUGUUUAGAACUAUGCGUAAAAGAAAUGUUGUUGCAUAGAAUUCUAUUUUUUCAUGGUAUGUGAGAAGGAAGAGGUUUAUGGAAUCAGUGAGGUGUUUUGUUAAGAUGAUGAGAUUAGGCAUUAAGCCAACUGUUGUUAGUUUUAUACUUUUAUUAAUGUUUUUCCUGCUGUAUCAGAAAUAGGGGAUGUUAGAGUUGCUGAUGUUCUUUAUGGAUUGCUUGCGAAAUUGGGUAAUGCAUGUGUAAAUGACUUGUUUGUUGUUAGUGCUGCCAUUGUUAUGUAUGCUGAGCUUGGUUGCGUUGAUUUGGUGACCAGAAUAUUUGAGAAUACUUGUGAAAGAAAUACAGAGAUCUGGAACUCUAUGAUUAGCGGGUACAUUUAGAACAAUUUUCCUUUAAAAGCUGUUGAUCUCUUUCUUUAAGCUGUAGAAGCAGAGGAUGCUGUUACUACUGAUGAUGUGACAUUUGUAUCCGCUCUUAUGGCAACUUCACAAUUGCAGCAUUUGGAGUUUGCCCAAUAGCUACAUGCAUGUCUGAUAAAGAAAUGCAGGGAUUCACAGGUUAUUUCGCUUAAUGCUAUGAUAGCCACAUAUUCUAGGUGUAACCAUGUUCUACUCUUUGCAGCAGAAUGGUUUAGAACCAGAUGCUGUUACCUUUGUAGCAGUCCUGUCUACUUUCAGCUACACCGGAUUGGCUGAUACAGGCCUUAAAUAUUUGAGCUGAUGGGUGAAGAAUACGGGAUUCAGCCAUCAGCAGAGCACUAUGCUUGUGUGGUUGACAUGUUAGGGAGAGUUGGACGGUUGGAUGAAGCUCAUAAUUUUUCUUAACAUUUGGGUGUUGAGGGUAAUGUCUUGGGAAGAUGGGGAUCACUCCUUGCAGCCUGCAGAGUGCAUAUAAAUUUUGAAUUGGGGAAAAUUGUUUCCAGUAAGCUGCUUGAAUUAGAGGGGAGUGAUGGAAUUUAUGGUUAUCAUAUUCUGCUUUCAAAUAUAUAUGCAGAGGUAGGAAACUGGCAGUCUGUCGAUAGCGUCAGAAGAGGAAUGCGCAAAAUGAGAUUGUCACAGGAGGUUGGCUGUAGUUGGAUUGAUACUUCUGGAUAUCCACACUGUUUUGUAUCUAAAGAUAAGAAACAUCCUCAGUACUGCAUGAUAUAUGAUAUGUUGGCAUAUUUAACCAUCAAUAUGUAGGAUGCUGGCUAUAAGCCUAAACUUGAACUAAUAGAAGAGUGGAUCUAUGGGCUAGAAGAAUAAAAAGCUAUUAGUUCUCCCACUAUGUACCUUUGUAUUCAUGAUAUUUUGGACAGGAUUUUGCUAGAGUUCAUAUGAUUGUAGUUUAUCAAUGACCAGCUGCCUUUGAAAUUCGAGGUAAUUAAGUUGUGUUUUAGCUUUUUUUAGUUUAGUUUUUUCUUCUGAAUUAUGCUUUUUUACUUUGUAAAGAUACUCAGAAGUAGGAUAUUCAGUUAGUGAAAUGUAUGUAUAUUUCUUUAUUAAUACAGAUCAGUCAAGAAUAUCCAUUUUACCUUUUUGGUGGGAAACGAGGAGUCCCAGAUCGCAAAAGAAGGGUCUUAUCCAAAAUGACAACUUCUAUCAAGCUGUCUGAUUGACUGAAGCACAUGUAAAUUAGGUGACCAGUUCUUUCCUUUGAAUAACUUAUACUUGUCCUGCAGGUCGACUUUUAAACUGUUGUAUUAAGGAUUUUCUUUGAUAUAGUGUUUGCAAGUUCAUGCGUGUUUUUAUAUUGGAGCCAAAUGGCAUUAAUAACACUUGUUAAGGUUGGUCCAGAUAACUAUUAAUAUGUCUGCUAAGGUUGGUUCAAUUCGUGGGAUAUUAUAGUUCAUCUUUCAAUAGCAUGAUUUCACUAUAUAGACCCUUUUGUUGUGUAUUUUUCAUAUUGGCUUAUCAAACCUCUAAGAAGUACUUCAGAAAUCAUUAAGAACCCCUAAUAGUUUGGCAACCUCCUCAAUUUCCCAAUCAUUCAAUGCGCUCCUAAAAAGUAGAUUCCAACCGUGUUGACUCCAGGCUUGUUCCACAGUGUCAUUGUUCUGCAUACUCAAUGUAUAUAGAAGAGGGAAUAGGUUUCUCAAAGUGUCUUCCUCUAUCUAUCUUUCAUUCAAGAACUCUGUCUUCCGUCGAUCCCCAACACUAAUACAUAUGUUGUUUUUGAAAUGUGGCCAUAGUCUUCUAAUGGUCUUCCAAACACUGCAUCCAAAUGUGCCCAUCACCUCUUCAGUUGUCCAUUGGUUAAAUAAACCAUACUUUCCUGAUAUAAAUCUCUUCUAUAAGGCUCUAUAUUCUAUACAGAAUGUCCAUAGCCACUUUUGGAGUAAACUACUGUUUUAGAGACUUAGGUCCUUCAACCCUAGCCUCCUUGGUUUUUGCUAAGUGUGAGAGUAUCCCACUUCACCAAGUUGUAGCCUUCCCUUUCUUUGUUGCCUUGCCAUAGAAAAGAUCUCCUGAGCCUAUUUAUUUUCUUCUCAAUGUUCUUGGGGACUGGAAAUAAACUCGUCAUAUAAGAAGGUGAUUCAUCUAAUAUUGACUUGAUGAGGGUCACCCUGCCACCUAGAGACAAAUACUAGCUUCUUCACCGGGCUUAUUUCGUCCCACAUCUAUCCAACACCACAUUGAAGACUUCCAACUCUUUGUUCUUAGCACCCAAAGGUAGUUCCAAAUAUUUUGUUGGUUGUGCAUCUACCUAGCAACUCAAUGUCUCAACUAGCCCAAGAAAAUUGUCAACUUGCUUGAUAGGGAGGAAAUGACUCUUCAGCCAAUUGACAUGGAGGCUUGAAAUGCUCUACUAAAUAGUGAGUAUAGCUCUUAUGUGUCUAAUUUGUGCCUCCUUUACCUCAUAGAAUAUAAGAGCAUCAUCAACAUAGAAUAAGUGUGUGAUCUCCAGCUCCUUCCCUCUCCCAGCAAGUGCACUAAAUCCUCUCCCACCCAUUUAGUCUUUGACUUCCGGAACAUGUGAUUCAACCCCUUCAUGGCUAUUAAGAAUAGGAAUAGGGACAUAGGAUCUCCCUGUCUAAGACUUUUCUGAGAUUGGAAGAAUCCUUCAGUGUUUCCAUUUAUGAGGAGGGAAAACUUCACACUUGAAAUGCAGUUAUUGAUCUAGUCAAUCCACUUGCUACCAAAUCCCAUGUCCUUUAGUAUUUUUAGAAGGAAAUUCCAAUUAACAUGUUCAUAGGUUUUCUCAGUGUCUAGCUUGCACAGAAUCCUAGGUUUUUUCUGCCUUACCUUGGAGUUGACCAUUUCAUUAGCCAACAAUGCUGCAUCCAUUAUUUGCCUAUAUCUUAAAAAAGCCAUUUGGUGUUCAUCAACCAAUUUCACUAUCACUUUCUUUAUUCUCUCAGUUAGCAACUUGGAGAUGAUUUUAUAGACUACUCCUAUCAAACUGAUAGGUCUAAAGUCUUUUAGCUCAAUUGAAUCAGGUUUCUUUGGGAUUGAAGCGAUCAAUGUAGCAUUAAAUGAUUUCUCAAACGCACUCCUCUGAUGGAAAUUUUUUGUACUCAACAUUCAGUUCUCUUUCAAAAUAUCCCAACAUUUCUUAAAGAAAAUCCAUAGUGAAGUCAUCAGGGUCUGGUGCUUUGUCCCCGUCAUACUGGUUGAUGAUCAAUAACACUUCCUCUUCUGUAAAUGGUCUUUGUAACCAUUCAUUUUCUUCUAUAGACUUUUGGACAUCCUACAAAAUGAAAAGAGGGUCUCCAGGAUUCAAGUUCUGAGUAGAGUCUGGCAUUUAAUACAUAUGACAUGGUAAUAGAGGAGGUUGCUUUAAUGGUUCCAAAUCCCACAAUGUUAUGUGUUGAGCCAUCAACUACCAUUACUUGAGAGGGUUCUUUGUGGGAUCGAAAGGUAGAAAAUAUAUUAGGAUUACGUGUCAUGUAAUUACUAGUACCUGUAUCAAUCACCCAGUUGUUCAAAGAGGAGAUCGCAUAUGCUUUUCUUGAAUCAACAAGGGUAGUAAUUGAAAUGAAUUCUUUAAGGGAUUCUUGAUACUAAGAGGACUCGCAAACUCAUUCGCCGAAACCAAAAUUGUCUUACCCUCAUAAUUUAUAGCCAUAUUUCCUCCUUUCUAAUUGUUUGAGUUAUAGUUUCAACUCAAAAUAUUAUUAUAGGAGAGGCUAACAAACACAAACAAUACCAACAUAUACAAUCCAGUAUUGAAAAGGCAAUUUGUUAAUAUCAAGACAUGCAAAAUUUUAUGGGAUUAAGUCCAUACAAAAUUUGAACGAAGUUGUACAGUUAAGACAUAUUGACCCAAGUGAACAUUUUGGGUUAAUACAACCGGAUUAAUUAUUUUAGUCAAGAUUGCGUGACUUAAGUCAAAUCCAACUACAUUGGGCUAGGUUGGGCUUCUACAAAAUGGUCCACCCACAUGUUUUAAGCCCAAGGGUCCAUUAGGAUUACUUGGAGACUACCGUAAAACCUUCCAUUCAUGCCUUUAUAAAAUAAAAAGGCUACAUAUUCUCUUUGGAGGCAUCUUGAAAAUUCUAUAACAUGUUGGAAGAUUCUAAGAUGGGAUUGGACAAAGACAAGAGUGUGCUCAACUGGAACAACGACCAACAAAGACCAAUUACUUAGAUAACGAUUCUUACCCUUCUGCUUUAAGGCUUUAAGGCGAACUGUAUGGAGGUAGGAAAGAAAGACGUCUCACCUUCUCUAGUGUUAGUGAGAGCAAUUUGAGUAUCCUUCAUGCACCUCCUUUUGUAGAUAGAAUCUUAAUGAGUGGAAACAAGCAACCUUACUAAGAAAGGUUCUUGUUGAGUAAGGCCGACUUUCAAGCCAACCCUUGGUAUAGGUUGUGCACUUGAGCGCAUGAUUGGUCCAUUGAAGAUUGUACAAGCCUAAUGCAGGCAUGCAUACAUCUUAUAUCAUGAUCAUGCCAAUGCCAUCAACAAGCCAAUUUCAUUUAUUUGUUCUAUUAAGUACUUCUUUCACGUCAUUAGCUUUAAAAAAUUGUCUCCCUUUACUGGUUCACCUCGAUGAAAAACUUAAGAAUUGCCUAGCUUCAAAAGGUCAUCAAUAAUAUUUGAUUCCAAGAAAUGAGCAACCAAUUCACCCAACAAAAUAAUUGUAGUCGAUAGUCAAAUACCACAUUUAUUUGACAUCAAGAACAAGCAUCCACAAAAAACUAUUAAUUCAAUAUUGAGCAAAAUUCAGCAAAUCGCGACAACACCAAACUGAAACCAGAUCUAAAUCACUGAAGGAGAGACUAGCAUACUAGAACAUUAAUUGUCCCGAACAACAUGUUUUAGCCCUAGUCUAUUUCCAUUAUUAUGUAUUGCCAUCUUGGAAGGGGCUCUUGACGUGAUAUUCAAUUAGAGGAAAUACGUGUAAGAACUGUUUGUCUUCUCAACAAGUUACUCAAAAAUAUCUCUCCAGAACUGAAGCUUUUAUGAAGACCAAAGACACCUAUGAGAUAUAUGAAGAUGUACUCUAUCCACCUAAAAAUAUAAUAAGAUAUGAGAUGUGCACACCAACGUGGUUAUUGAGAAAUAAGAAAUUUUGAAAUUCCAUUUUAGUAAAAAUGUAAGUCGUUCAAUCAAAUACAAAAAAUGACAUAAACAUCAAUUUACAUUAUUAAUGUCAUCCUCAAGAACUGUACUGGACACUAACUUGUGUUCCUGUUCUGUCCAAGAAGCCCCUUUUCGCCAUUCUACAUCUACAAAAAAUGAUAUAAACAUCAAUUCAAAGUAUUAAUUCUGGUUUUGCAUUUCAGGAUAAUUAGAUAAUGUACAUAUCUAGACUCGAUGACAUUGAUAUCUUCAAUUAAUACAUUACAAUGAUCCUUAAUAUCAUCCGUCAAUUUCCCAAGAAGUGCUUUUGCCAUUUCCUUCAAUAGAUUGUUGUUAUCCUUGUUGAUCGCAAGAGUAUUCUCAAAGAUUUUAUUCUCCUCCUUAGUCCAGAAGGAGUUAUUGCACGUUCGAUCAUUGUUCAUUUUCUUUUAGAUCUACACGGAAAGCUCAAACAUGAAAAAGGUAAGCUCUUCAAGAGGAUUCAUAAAAUGGAUGAAUGUAAAUAUAUGACCAAAAUUUAUCAUAAAUAUCGGGCAUCUAAAAUAAGAUUUUUUGUAACCCCUGACACUUAGAAAUUAGAAACAAUCGCAGCAACACACAAUCUUCUAAAUCAGUUAUGGAUACUAAGAGAGACUGUUUCUGAGACACUUGGCUCAAGUUACUUUUCUUAGUAUCCAUAACUGAUUUAAAAGAAUGUGUGUUGCUGCGAUUGUUUUUGAUUACUAAGUGAUAGAGGUUACAAAAAAUCUUAUUUUAGAUGCCCGAUAUUUAUGGUAGUUUUGAUCAUAUAUUGACACUCCUCCGUUUUCUUAAUCCUCUUGAAGAGCUUAUCUUUUUCAUGUUAAAGCUUUCGUUGUUGAUCUAAAAAAAAAUGAACACCGAUCGGACAUGCAAUAACUCCUUCUAGACUAAGGAGGAGGAUAAAAUCUUUGAGAAUACUCUUGCGACCAACGAGGGUAACAACAAUCUAUUGGAGAAAAUGACCAAAGCACUUCUUGGGAAAUCGGCGGAUGAUAUUAAGGAUCACUAUAAUAUCUUAAUUGAAGAUACCAAUGCCAUCGAGUCUGGAUAUGUCCCCAUUACCUAAUUAUCCUGAAAUAGCAAAACCAGAAUUCAAAAGCAUAUGUAGAAUGGUGAAAUGGGGGCUUCUUGGACCAAAUAGGAACACAUGUCAGUUUGCAGUACAGUUCUUGAGGACGACAUAAAUAAUCUGAAUUGAUGAUCAUUUCUUGUAUUUGAUUGCACGUCGUAUAUUUUUACUAAAACGGAAUUUCAAAAUUUCUUAUUUCUCAAUGACCACGUUGGUGUGCUUCUAAACAUCUCAUAUAUUAUUAUAUUUCUAGGUGGAUAGAGUACAUCUUCAUAGGUGUAUUUGGUCUUAACUGCAUCACCAAUAUAAUACAAAGUAUUAAUUCCAACUUCUGAGUUCCACAAUAUUUUCAGAUUAAAUAUGUAGGUUUUUACUUUUUAAAAUUGUCAAUGGUUAGGCUUGCUUUCAUGAGAAGUGGAUGAGUAUUUGUAAGACCAAAUAUUUAUAAGAUCAUAAUUUUGAAGUGGAUGAGUAUUUGUAACACCAAACCAUUGUCUUCUUCAACUUUCUCACAGGCUCCAUCUUUGAGCUUAACCCAUCUCCCAAAUUAAUCUUCCCUACUCCUCACCGACCAACAAUGCACUUUCACAGAGCCAAAACCCAGAACAAUUCGCUUUCGUUUAACCCCAUCUCGCCCGCCAACUGUUCGAUACAAUUCCUCAACCAACAAUUGUCCUUUGGAACACAAUUAUCAUUGGGUUUAUCUGUAAUAACAUGCCCCAUGAAGCAAUUUCAUUCUAUUCUCGAUUGAAACAUGUGGGUUCAUCCGUAUGUGAUCAGUAUACUUAUUCCUCUGUUAUCAAGGCUUGCGUGGAGACCAAACGGAUUCUUGUAGGUAAUGCUGUGCAUUUGCCACAUUCUGAGUUCUGGGAUUCGUCCUAGUAGGAUUGUUAGUAAUUCUUUGUUGAAUAUGUACUCUGCUACUUGUCUUACAUUGGAUAAUGGUUCUGAUUGUGAUUGUGAUUUUGUUGAAAGGGUGUUCAGAACUAUGCGUAAAAGAAAUGUUGUUGCAUGGAAUACUAUUUUUUCAUGGUAUGUGAAAAGGAAGAGGUUUUCGGAAGCAGUGAGGUGUUUUGUUAUGAUGAUGAGAUUAGGCAUUAAGCCAACUGUUGUUAGUUUUACUAAUGUUUUUCCUGCUGUAUCAGAAACAGGGGAUGUUAGAGUUGCUGAUUUUCUUUAUGGAUUUCUUGUGAAAUUGGGUAAUGCAUAUGUAAAUGACCUGUUUGUUGUUAGUGCUGCCAUUGUUAUGUAAGCUGAGCUUGGCUGUGUUGAUUUGGCGACCAGAAUAUUUGAGAAUACUUGUGAAACAAAUACAGAGAUCUGGAACUCUAUGAUUAGCGGGUACAUUCAGAACAAUUUUCCUUUUAAAGCAGUUGAUCUCUUUCUUGAAGCUGUAGAAGCAGAGGAUGCUGUUUCUACUGAUGAUGUGACAUUUGUAUCUGCUCUUAUGGCAGCUUCACAGUUGCAGCAUUUGGAGUUUGCCCAACAGCUACAUGCAUGUCUGAUAAUGAAAUGCAGGGUUUCACAGGUUAUUUCGCUUAAUGCUGUGAGCCACAUAUUCUAGGUGUAACCAUAUUGGCAAUUCACUUUAAGUUUUUAAUGGAAUGAAGGAAAGAUAUAUUGUGUCAUGGAACACCGUGGUGUCUGCUUUGGUACAGAACGAACUGGAUAACGAGGCUUUGAUGCUUGUAUAUGAGAUGAAAAAGCUAUGGGUCGCAAUUGAUGAUAUAACAAUUACCAUCCUGCUUUCUGCGGCAUCAAAUAUUAGGGACAGGGAAAUUGGUAAACAGACCCAUGCUUAUCUUCUGAGGCACAAUAUUCAAUUUGAAGGGAUGGAGAGUUACCUGAUAGUCAUGUAUGCCAAAUCUAAUAUGAUUAGAGAAGAACGAGCAAUAUUCCAGUCGAACUUCACAUAUGAUAAAGAUCAAGUCACGUGGAAUGCUAUGAUUGCUGGAAACACUCAGAAUGGAUUAAUUGAACAAUCCUUUGUUGUCUUCAAGGAGAUGCUUGAGCAGAAUGUGAAGCCAAAUGCUGUGACCUUAGCAUCAAUCCUCCCAUCAUGCAGCCAGUCAGGAAGUAUAGCAAUAGGCAAGCAGCUACAUUGUUUUGCAAUUCGCUAAUUGUUUGAGAACAAUGUUUAUGUUAUUUCUGCUUUGGUAGACAUGUAUUCAAAAUCAGGAAUCAUUGAUUAUGCUGAAAGUGUUUUCUAAAAUCUCUUGAGAAGAACUCUGUGACAUAUACAAAUAUGAGUUUGGGAUAUGGCCUUCAUGGGAUGCGUAGGAAGCUCUAAAACUGUUCUACUCUUUGCGGCAGAAUGGUUUAGAACCAGAUGCUGUUACCUUUGUAGCAGUCCUGUCUACUUGCAGCUACACCAGAUUGGUUGAUUCAG